GUGCCAGCAGCCGCGGUAAUACGUAGGGUGCGAGCGUUGUCCGGAAUUACUGGGCGUAAAGGGCUCGUAGGUGGUUUGUCGCGUCGUCUGUGAAAUUCCGGGGCUUAACUCCGGGCGUGCAGGCGAUACGGGCAUAACUUGAGUACUGUAGGGGUAACUGGAAUUCCUGGUGUAGCGGUGAAAUGCGCAGAUAUCAGGAGGAACACCGAUGGCGAAGGCAGGUUACUGGGCAGUUACUGACGCUGAGGAGCGAAAGCAUGGGUAGCGAACAGGAUUAGAUACCCUAGUAGUCC
rnacentral:rRNA from 1 species